rnacentral:rRNA from 1 species
AAAUGGCCGCGGUAUCUCGACCGUGCUAAGGUAGCAUAAUAAGUUUCUUUUUAAUUGGGAGAUAGAAUGAAUGAGUGAACAAAGAGAUUUUGUACCGUUUUUAUAAAAGUAAUUUUAUAUAGAGGUAAAAAAGCCUUUAGGUUUUAGAAAGACGAUAAGACCCUAUAAAACUUUACUAGUAUUGGUUAUUAGGUGUUUUAAAUUUUAAAAGCAUAUUAUUAGUUUAGCUGGGGCGGUUUGUUUUUAUGGACGAAAUGUUUUAUCACAUAUUUAAUGGAUUUAAGGAGCGCAUUUAUGCAAUUAAGAUUAAGUUACUUUAGGGAUAACAGGAUAAUAUUUUUGGAGAGUUCUUAUCGAUAAAAAUGUUUAUUACCUCGAUGUUGAAUUGAA